AACGAACGCUGGCGGCAUGCCUAACACAUGCAAGUCGAACGAGACCUUCGGGUCUAGUGGCGCACGGGUGCGUAACGCGUGGGAACCUGCCCUUAGGUUCGGAAUAACUCCCCGAAAGGGGUGCUAAUACCGGAUAAUGUCUUCGGACCAAAGAUUUAUCGCCUUUGGAUGGGCCCGCGUUGGAUUAGCUAGUUGGUAGGGUAAAAGCCUACCAAGGCGACGAUCCAUAGCUGGUCUGAGAGGAUGAUCAGCCACACUGGGACUGAGACACGGCCCAGACUCCUACGGGAGGCAGCAGUGGGGAAUAUUGGACAAUGGGCGAAAGCCUGAUCCAGCAAUGCCGCGUGAGUGAUGAAGGCCUUAGGGUUGUAAAGCUCUUUUAACCGGGAUGAUAAUGACAGUACCGGGAGAAUAAGCUCCGGCUAACUCCGU
rnacentral:rRNA from 1 species